AACGAACGCUGGCGGCGUGCCUAACACAUGUAAGUCGAACGAGAAACUUCCCGCUUGCGGGAGGGAGUAAAGUGGCGCACGGGUGAGUAACGCGUGGGUAACCUGCCCUCGAAUCUGGGAUAACUCUGCGAAAGCGGUGCUAAUACCGGAUAUGGUUUCGAAGACUUCGGUUUUCGGGAUUAAAGGUGACCUCUUCAUGAAAGUUGCCGUUCAAGGAUGGGCCCGCGUACCAUUAGCUUGUUGGUAGGGUAAUGGCCUACCAAGGCUACGAUGGUUAGCUGGUCUGAGAGGAUGAUCAGCCACACUGGAACUGAAACACGGUCCAGACUCCUACGGGAGGCAGCAGUGAGGAGUUUUGCGCAAUGGGGGAAACCCUGACGCAGCAACGCCGCGUGAGCGAAGAAGGCCUUUGGGUCGUAAAGCUCUGUCAAGUGGGAAAAACGUCUACCGGUCAAUAGCCGGCAGAUCUGAUGGUACC
rnacentral:rRNA from 1 species